GAGGGUAUAGCUCAGUGGUAGGGCGCAUGCUUUGCAUGCAUGAGAUUCUGAGUUCAAUCCCUAGUACCUCCA
rnacentral:tRNA from 1 species